rnacentral:lncRNA from 10 species
CCAAGGUUUUUUCUGGGUCUCCUCCACUACUGCUGGUGCUCUGGGUAGAGAAGGAGCCCACAGGGUCAUGCUGGGGGUUUCACUAAAACUGUCUGGCUUCCUCUACAGGAUGGCAAGAGCACUGGCAGGAAUGGUGGGACAAGUUGGCUCGCUGUGAGCCCGCUCCAGUGGGAGAGGGAAGCUGGAAGCUUCAGUAGAUGGAGAAGGAGAGGUGGGAACCCCAGGAGGAAAGGACAGUUCUCUGAUGGUUCCAGAAGUUUCCAUGUGAAAGGAAUGUCUCUCCCAACUCUGCCUCACCCAGUAACCUCCUCAUUUAAAAAGCAGUGACUUUGUAAUUUCCUAACUAUACCUCACUGAUUUCAAGGCACUGAAAAGCAGAAAAACCUCUUAGUCCAUGGAGAUGGGGGUG